CUAGAGAGGUUGACCUCGGAUCAGGUAGGGAUACCCGCUGAACUUAAGCAUAUCAAUAAGCGGAGGAAAAGAAACCAACAGGGAUUGCCUUAGUAACGGCGAGUGAAGCGGCAAAAGCUCAAAUUUGAAAUCUGGCGCCUCUGGUGUCCGAGUUGUACUUUGGAGAGGCAUCUUCCGGAGGGGCCCAGCCUAUGUGCCUUGGAACAGGACGUCAUAGAGGGUGAGAAUCCCGUCCUUGGCUGGAUGUUCCCUCCUGUAUGUAGUGUCUUCUACGAGUCGAGUUGUUUGGGAAUGCAGCUCAAAAUGGGUGGUAAAUUUCAUCUAAAGCUAAAUAUUGGCGAGAGACCGAUAGCGCACAAGUAGAGUGAUCGAAAGAUGAAAAGCACUUUGAAAAUAGAGUCAAACAGUACGUGAAAUUGUUGAAAGGGAAGCGCUUGAGAUCAGAGUCAGCCUUUGGCAAACAACUAUCCUUCUGAAUGGUGCACUUGUCAUUGGUUGGGCCAGCAUCGGUUGGGACGGCAGGAUAAAGGCCCAGGGAAUGUGACUCCUUUAUGGAGUGUUAUAGCCCCAGGCGGCAUACUGUCAGCCCCGACUGUGGACCGCGCUUCGGCUCGGAUGCUGGCUUAAUGGUCUUCAGCGACCCGUCUUGAAACACGGACC
rnacentral:rRNA from 1 species